UAUUUUAUGUUUUGUUUUUGUGUUUCUGAUAAGUAGUUCUUUCUGUAACAUGCUCACCGCGAGAGACGUUGGAAUCAUGUUUUUGGUACAAUGACUGCUGUGACUAGUUUUUUUUCGAAAGUUUUUGAUCAAAUGAUAUGCGUAAAUAAAUAUGCAUUUACUUUUCUAAAAUAUAAUGUUUGUCUACACCAACAGAAAUAAUUUUUAUCUAUCGCGAGAACAAGUGCAUAACCUUCUGAGACAGGAGCUGCGUGGCCGCAAGGUUUUAGAGUCUGCUUUGUCAAGCUUUGUCGGUCGAUAUCAAAAAUGAAUAAACAUGGGUUUAUUCUCAGGUUCCCCCAUCACUUACUUUUUCUUUACGUUCAAUUCUAUAAUACCUUUGUGUGAAUUUCUCUUAACAAAAAUAUAACUUGAUUUUAGUUGAAAAGUAUUGCAGUUUUAGAAAUAUCUUGCAUUCAUUCCUAGGGUCCAAUGAAAAACAAUAAGAAAGCAAACUAUUUUACUACCGGAAACACCCGACUUUGCAGUGUAAGUAAAUAAGAAAAUAAUUGCAAGUGAUGAAUAAAAUUUAUUUUUUUGUCAUUAUGAAUAGCUUCAUGUUAAUUACGAGCGAGAUCUGUACGCGGCCGUAGUCACAGGAAGCUGAGGUCUAUACCGGGUGCGCUUGAAGCUUCCAAUGCCGAACUUGAGUGAAACAUACCAGCACGAGAGCAUGAAAGAGAGACUGCUGCUGCUGGACUACUGCUGCUGUUGGGACCACUGUUGCUGCUGGGACUAUUGCUACUGCUGCUGGGACUAUUGCUACUGCUGCUGGGACUGCUGCCGAGUUGUUGCCUCCAAGCAGUUCUGUGGAAACUCUAGGUACAACUAUUACUACAUGGUCCAACGAUCAACUGUAAAGCUCAGAAAUAUUCAAAGGGAUCGGUAAACUUGCUUCAGCGGGAGAACCUGGACUGAUUCGAAAAAUUAAGCGAUUGCGACAUCGAUCGGGCAAGCAAGCCUACACAAUCGGAACGCUGCAGUCAUACAC